GCGUCAGUGGUUUAGUGGUAAAAUCUGCCCUUGCCAUCCUCCGAAGGGAGAGUUGUCUGGGUUGGCCCCGGGUUCGAUUCCCGGCUGACGCA